GACGAACGCUGGCGGCGUGCUUAACACAUGCAAGUCGAACGGAAAGACCCUGCUUUUGUGGGGUGCUCGAGUGGCGAACGGGUGAGUAACACGUGAGUAACCUGCCCUUGACUUUGGGAUAACUUCAGGAAACUGGGGCUAAUACCGGAUAGGAGCUCCUGCUGCAUGGUGGGGGUUGGAAGGUUUCGGCGGUUGGGGAUGGACUCGCGGCUUAUCAGCUUGUUGGUGGGGUAGUGGCUUACCAAGGCUUUGACGGGUAGCCGGCCUGAGAGGGUGACCGGCCCCAUUGGGACUGGGAUACGGCCCAGACCCCUACGGGGGGCAGCGGUGGGGAAUUUUGCACAAUGGGCGGAAGCCUGAUGCAGCAACGCCGCGUGCGGGAUGACGGCCUUCGGGUUGUAAACCGCUUUCGCCUGUGACGAAGCGGGGGUGACGGUAAUGGGUAAAGAAGCACCGGCUAACUACGU
rnacentral:rRNA from 1 species